rnacentral:tRNA from 1 species
GGAGGUGACAGGCAACCGGUGUUGCUCCUGGUCUUCAAAACCAGUGUGGGGCGGCGGUCCCGUCCCGGGUGGGUUCGACUCCCAUUCGCCUCCGCCA